rnacentral:misc_RNA from 1 species
AACAUCGCGCACCUGCGGGAACCUGCGGAAGGAUCAUUACAGAGUUGCAAAACUCCCUAAACCAUUGUGAACGUUACCUAAACCGUUGCUUCGGCGGGCGGCCCGGGUCCUUCCCGGCGCCCCUCGGCCCUCGCGGGCGCCCGCCGGAGGUAAACCAAACUAUUGCAUUUGUAUGGCCUCUCUGAGUCUUCUGUACUGAAUAAGUCAAAACUUUCAACAACGGAUCUCAGAUCGGAAGAG